rnacentral:rRNA from 1 species
AGCGAACGCUGGCGGCAGGCCUAACACAUGCAAGUCGAACGAACCUUUCGGGGUUAGUGGCGGACGGGUGAGUAACACGUGGGAACGUGCCUUUAGGUUCGGUAUAACUCAGGGAAACUUGUGCUAAUACCGAAUGUGCCCUUCGGGGGAAAGAUUUAUCGCCUUUAGAGCGGCCCGCGUCUGAUUCGCUGGUUGGUUGAGGUAAUGGCUCACCAAGGCGACGAUCAGUAGCUGGUCGGAGAGGAUGAUCAGCCACAUUGGGACUGAGACACGGCCCAAACUCCUACGGAAGGGAGCAGUGGGGAAUCUUGCGCAAUGGACGAAAGCCUAACGCAGCCAUGCCGCGUGAAUGAUGAAGGUCUUAGGAUUGUAAAAUUCUUUCACCGGAGACGAUAAUGACGGUACCCGGAGAAGAAGCCCCGGCUAACUUCGUG